rnacentral:rRNA from 1 species
AGAGUUUGAUCAUGGCUCAGGAUGAACGCUGGCGGCGCGCUUAACACAUGCAAGUCGAACGGUUAAAGCCCCUUCGGGGGUGCAUAGAGUGGCGAACGGCUGAGUAACACGUGGGCAACCUGCCCCCCGCACCGGGAUAGCCUCGGGAAACCGUGGGUAAUACCGGAUACUCCCUCACCUCCGCAUGGCGGGGAGGGGAAAGCGGUAACGGCGGGGGAUGGGCCCGCGGCCUGUUAGCUCGUUGGCGGGGUAACGGCCCACCAAGGCGAUUAUGGGUAGCCGGGUUGAGAGACCGACCGGCCAGAUUGGGACUGAGACACGGCCCAGACUCCUACGGGAGGCAGCAGUGGGGAAUCUUGCACAAUGGGCGAAAGCCUGAUGCAGCGACGCCGCGUGCGGGACGAAGGCCCUCGGGUUGUAAACCGCUUUCAGCAGGGACGAGGCGCAAGUGACGGUACCUGCAGAAGAAGCCCCGGCUAACUACGUGCCAGCCGCCGC